rnacentral:lncRNA from 1 species
GUCCGCGCAGCUCGUCCGGCCCGCCCGCAGGCCAGCUUCUCUCGGGAGCCUCCACCCAGGCGCAUGGCUCCAUGAAGCAAGAGGAGGAGGCAGAGCGCGAGAGAUCCCGUCCGCCCCAGCCGCGUCUGGGCCAGGAGAAAAGCAAAACCAUAUUCCUGCUGCUGUCAGUUUUGAUGCACUGAGAAAACUUCAGAGACCUAAGCUUUUUCCAGAGAAGAGAAGCUUUACUGGUGUUCCAGCCCUAAGGCUCAUAUGACAUUAACAGACAAGACACUUUUCAGAAAGACAGGCAACGUGUUGGACCUUCCGGAGCUUCUCAGAAGACAGAGGGUUUUCUUUUGAGGUAUUGUUUGGGUUUUAAUACAGACAAAUCAACUCAAUCAAAGAAACCAACUCAAAGAAAGAUGGGUCUACAUACAACAAAACUGAACAAAAUCUGCAAGAAGAGUGAUUCAUACAUGGGCUAUUGAGGCAACAUGAGAUGGACAUUAAUCGACUAAGUAAAAAACAGAUUUCUUGAAGAAUUAAUAAAGAACUUUUGUUUUGGAA